rnacentral:rRNA from 1 species
CAACCUCAAAUUAGGUGAGACUACCCGCUAAAUUUAAGCAUAUUAUUAAGCGGAGGAAAAGAAACUAACAAGGAUUUCCAAAGUAGCUGCGAGUGAACUGGAAAAAGCCCAGCACUGAAUCGUUAACAUUAUUAUGUUAAUGAAAUGUAGUGUUUAAGAAGGUUUUUAAUUAUCUAAAAUACUUUUAUUUGUUCAAGUUGAUCUUGAAUGGGGCCAUGGUCCAUAGAAGGUGCCAGGCCUGUAAAACAAAUAAGUAUUUUAGAUAAACCUUUCUUUAGAGUGCAACCUUAAGUAGGUGGUAAGUUCCAUCUAAGGCUAAAUAUAACCACGAGACCGAUAGUAAACAAGUACCGUGAGGGAAAGUUGAAAAGAACUUUGAAGAGAGAGUUAAAAAGUACGUGAAACCGUUUAGGGGUAAACGGAAAAGAUCUGAAAAUCCGAAAAGGGAGAUUCACGUCUUCUCGUUUGUUUAAUAUAGUUAAUGGUAUGAUAACUAAUGGCCUGUACAUUUUGUGUAUUAGUGCUACUAGUUGCUUACUAGACUAUAUUAGCAACGGUGGACCGCACUUCUCUCUUAGUAGGACGUCGCGACCUGCUAUCUUAUAAUUUAAGAUCAAACCUAUUAAAAGUUUUAUUAUAUUAAAAAAUUUAUUUUUUUAAUUAUAAUAAUAAUGGUUUGUAUCUAAUUAAAUAGUUGGCAGUAUAAAACGACAGUGUAAAGCUGCUUAUAUUAAGCGUUUAACAAAUAAUAAAUUUUUUUAUUAUAAUUAAAUAUGGAUUUUAAUCUGUAUAAAUUAUUUAAAAGCAUUAUUAUUCUGUUUAAACAAAGCUUACAACACUAGUCAGCGGCGCUACAGUUUCAGUAACUUUUCCGACCCGUCGAAACACCCAAGGAGUCUAACAUGUGUGCAAGUCAUUGGGUAAUAAAACCUAAAGGCAAAACAAAAGUAAAGAAAAGCUUUGCUUUUUAAGGGAAGAUGGUUAAAAUAUAUUUUAGCCCGCACUCCUGGGGCGUUAAUUACUCAUUGCGAGUAAAGGCGCACCUAGAGCAUACAUGUUGGGUCCCGAAAGAUGGUGAACUAUACCUGACCAGGAUGAAGCCAGGGGAAACCCUGGUGGAGGUCCGUAGCGAUUCUGACGUGCAAAUCGAUCGUCAGAGUUAGGUAUAGGGGCGAAAGACUAAUCGAACCAUCUAGUAGCUGGUUCCCUCCGAAGUUUCCCUCAGGAUAGCUGGUGCCGAUGAUGAUCAGAGUCUCAUCUGGUAAAGCGAAUGAUUAGAGGCCUUGGGGUUGAAACGACCUCAACCUAUUCUCAAACUUUAAAUGGAUGAGAGCCUUGGCUUUCUUAAAAAUGAAGCCAAGGAUUUGGAUCUAAGGUGCCAAGUGGGCCAAUUUUGGUAAUGUGGGAUGAACCAAACGUAAAGUUAAGGCGCCCGAAUCAACGCUCAUGAGACACCAUAAAAGGCGUUGGUUGCUUAAGACAGCAGGACGGUGGCCAUGGAAGUCGGAAUCCGCUAAGGAGUGUGUAACAACUCACCUGCCGAAGCAACUAGCCCUGAAAAUGGAUGGCGCUGUAGCGUUGUGCCUAUACUUUGCCGUCAACGGCAAAUAAAAUCUUAAAUACUAAGAAUUUUAUUAAGCCUUGAUGAGUAGGAGGGUCGCAGCGAUGAGCGUGGAAGGGUCUGGGCGUAAGCCUGCCUGGAGCCGUCGCUGGUGCAGAUCUUGGUGGUAGUAGCAAAUACUCCAGCGAGGCCCUGGAGGACUGUUGUGGAAGAAGGGUUUCUUGUGAACAGCUGUUGCACAAGAGUCAGUCGAUCCUAAGCUCUAGGAGAAAUCCGAUGUUGAUGGAUGCCAUAAGUCUAAAAUAAAAUUUGUGUGCAUACAUCGAGCGAAAGGGAAUCUGGUUCCUAUUCCAGAACCUGGCAGCGGAACCGAUUUCAAUCAAGCCCUAUAAAGCUUGACGGGGUGACCCAAAUAGCCCCGGAAACGCCGUUGGAAGGUUUGGGGAGAGUUGUCUCUUCUCUAUAAGCGUUCGAGUUCCCUGGAAUCCUCUAGCAGGGAGAUAGGGUUUGGAACGCAAAGAGCAUCGCAGUUACGGCGGUGUCCAAAUUUUUCCAUCGGACCUUGAAAAUCCGGGAGAGGGCUACGAGGAAUCCCGCGCCAGAUCGUACCCAUAUCCGCAGCAGGUCUCCAAGGUGAAUAGCCUCUAGUCGAUAGAAUAAUGUAGGUAAGGGAAGUCGGCAAGUUCGAUCCGUAACUUCGGGAUAAGGAUUGGCUCUGAGGAUCGUGGCGUGCUGGGCUUGGUCGGGAAGUGGAGCGGUGUCAACGAGCCGGGCCUGGGCGAGGGUUAACUUUACUGUUGAUCUAAGCUCGGUCCCGUGCCUUGGCCACCCACGGAUCUUCCUUGCAAUAGAUUCAUAGUUGCUAGUUGCCAGUUCUCUGGUAAACAGAUUGUGAGUCUUUCGGCCGCCUUUUAACGAUCAACUCAGAACUGGCACGGACUUUGGGAACCCGACUGUCUAAUUAAAACAAAGUAUUGCGAUGGCCCCAAACGGGUGCUGACGCAAUAUGAUUUCUGCCCAGUGCUCUGAAUGUCAAUGUGAAGAAAUUCAAAUAAGCGCGGGUAAACGGCGGGAGUAACUAUGACUCUCUUAAGGUAGCCAAAUGCCUCGUCAUCUAAUUAGUGACGCGCAUGAAUGGAUUAACGAGGUUCCCAAUCUGUCCCUAUCUACUAUCUAGCGAAACCACUGCCAAGGGAACGGGCUUGGAAAAAUUAGCGGGGAAAGAAGACCCUAUUGAGCUUGACUCUAGUCUGGUACUGUAAGGAGACAUGAGAGGUGUAGCAUAAGUGGGAGAUAAUCAUUUUUAAUGUUUAUCAACAGUGAAAUACCACUACUUUCAUAGUUUCCUUACUUAUUCGAUGAGGCGGAGGGCGUCUUCCUAGGGUGUCAUACCCAGGUUAGACGGUAUUCUUGCGCCAAGCGGCAGGGUUGUCGGAUGUCCUUCAAGCAUUUAGGGGAAGUCUUAUCAUUACUGUUCAUUGUAUUGUUUUAUGUAUGUUCGUGUGUGUUUAAUGAGUUUCCCUACUUGUUUUCUAGUGACGACCGUCAACAUAUUCCCUGCCGUGAUCCGAUUCGAAGACACUACCAGGCCGGGAGUUUGACUGGGGCGGUACAUCUGUCAAAAAAUAACGCAGGUGUCCUAAGGCCAGCUCAGCGAGGACAGAAACCUCGCGUAGAGCAAAAGGGCAAAAGCUGGCUUGAUCCCGAUGUUCAGUAUGCAUAGGGACUGCGAAAGCAUGGCCUAUCGAUCCUUUUAGCUAAAGAACUUUUAGCAAGAGGUGUCAGACAAGUUACCAUAGGGAUAACUGGCUUGUGGCAGCUAAGCGUUCAAAGCGACGUUGCUCUUUGAUCCUUCGAUGUCGGCUCUUCCUAUCAUUGUGAAGCAGAAUUCACAAAGUGUCGGAUUGUUCACCCGCUAAUAGGGAACGUGAGCUGGGUUUAGACCGUCGCGAGACAGGUUAGUUUUACCCUACUAAUUAAAUGUAUUUGCAUUAGUAAUCCUGCUCAGUACGAGAGGAACCGCAGGUUCGGAGAUAUGGUUCAUGCACUCGGUCGACAGGCCGGUGGUGCGAUGCUACCAUCCGUAGGAUUAUGCCUGAACGCCUCUAAGGCCGAAUCCUUUCUAAAUGCAAAUAUAAAAUCUAUGGGCUAAGUGAGUUGAAAGGCUUACACAAUGUGAUUAUAGGUGGUUAAUAUUUUAAUAUAUUUAACCAUCACAAAUGCCUAAUGUGUAUUUAGUUAUAAAAUAUUAUUAUAAAAUAAUAUAAUUUUAUUAAUUAAAGCACGUUAAAUAGGUAACCCCUUUUAGGGGAAUUCAAUGACAUGGCCCGGAAAAAUUCGUAGACUACUUAUGCACUAAGCGGGGUGUUGUACUCGGUAG